UACGUAGGGUGCAAGCGUUAAUCGGAAUUACUGGGCGUAAAGCGUGCGCAGGCGGUGAUGUAAGACAGUUGUGAAAUCCCCGGGCUCAACCUGGGAACUGCAUCUGUGACUGCACCGCUGGAGUGCGGCAGAGGGGGAUGGAAUUCCGCGUGUAGCAGUGAAAUGCGUAGAUAUGCGGAGGAACACCGAUGGCGAAGGCAAUCCCCUGGGCCUGCACUGACGCUCAUGCACGAAAGCGUGGGGAGCAAACAGG
rnacentral:rRNA from 1 species